ACGAAAAAAAUAUGAAUGAAAGUAAUAAAACUAAAUAUGACAAUGCCUCAGAAUUGCAGAAAGUCAGCACGGCUUAUAAAUAAGCCAAUCAGUCCCGAAAGAUGGUGUGUUUUAUAACUGAUUUCAUCACCGGCAAAGACUUAAAAACUAUUCCAACAAAACAAUAUCAUAAAAUUCUGAAGAGAAAAAAUGUCGGUCUCAUGGCCAAUCCCAAAUGGUAAAGGCAGUAAACACCGCUCCACAAGGCGAUAGGAUAUGACACCACUCAUCGACGGAGGAGCUCCAUCCCAAGAGGGAGGGAGGACCAUCAACGUCGACGAGAAUUUGUAUGCGACGUUUACUUGGGAAUGUACAGACACCAAUUGCCUGCUCCUUCAAGUUGGAGACUGAUCAAUGCCCCCCGUCACAAAUUUCACAAAUUUAUCAAACAAAUAGAAAAGCUUUUUGCAAAAACUUGACGACCCAAUGGUCCCCAUAUUUGGAAAAACAACGAAUCUUAUAGCUAAACUCGAAGAACAAUCAACCAGACUAAAAAGGAUGAAGCUUUGGUGAUUGAUCAAACAAUCUCUAAGAUGAAACAAAAAUCCCUAAAGAGACUGACUGAAUGAAAACCAGUAGAAGACAGAGGCACAGACUAAAACCCUAGCACCGAG
rnacentral:lncRNA from 1 species